AACGAACGCUGGCGGCAGGCUUAACACAUGCAAGUCGAACGCACCGCAGGGUGAGUGGCAGACGGGUGAGUAACACGUGGGGAUCUGCCCAAUGGUACGGAAUAGCUCCGGGAAACUGGAAUUAAUACCGUAUGAGCCCGCAAGGGGAAAGAUUUAUCGCCAUUGGAUGAACCCGCGUCGGAUUAGCUAGUUGGUGUGGUAAAGGCGCACCAAGGCGACGAUCCGUAGCUGGUCUGAGAGGAUGAUCAGCCACACUGGGACUGAGACACGGCCCAGACUACUACGGGAGGCUGCAGUGGGGAAUAUUGGACAAUGGGCGCAAGCCUGAUCCAGCCAUGCCGCGGGAGUGAUGAAGGCCUUAGGGUUGUAAAGCUCUUUCGCCGACGAAGAUAAUGACGGUAGUCGGAGAAGAAGCCCCGGCUAACUUCGUGCCAGCCGCCGCAGUAAGAC
rnacentral:rRNA from 1 species